AGGCUUAACACAUGCAAGUCGAGGGGCAGCAUGGUCUUAGCUUGCUAAGGCCGAUGGCGACCGGCGCACGGGUGAGUAACACGUAUCCAACCUGCCGUCUACUCUUGGACAGCCUUCUGAAAGGAAGAUUAAUACAAGAUGGCAUCAUGAGUCCGCAUGUUCACAUGAUUAAAGGUAUUCCGGUAGACGAUGGGGAUGCGUUCCAUUAGAUAGUAGGCGGGGUAACGGCCCACCUAGUCUUCGAUGGAUAGGGGUUCUGAGAGGAAGGUCCCCCACAUUGGAACUGAGACACGGUCCAAACUCCUACGGGAGGCAGCAGUGAGGAAUAUUGGUCAAUGGGCGAGAGCCUGAACCAGCCAAGUAGCGUGAAGGAUGACUGCCCUAUGGGUUGUAAACUUCUUUUAUAAAGGAAUAAAGUCGGGUAUGGAUACCCGUUUGCAUGUACUUUAUGAAUAAGGAUCGGCUAACUCCGUGCCAGCAGCCGCGGUAAUACGGAGGAUCCGAGCGUUAUCCGGAUUUAUUGGGUUUAAAGGGAGCGUAGAUGGAUGUUUAAGUCAGUUGUGAAAGUUUGCGGCUCAACCGUAAAAUUGCAGUUGAUACUGGAUAUCUUGAGUGCAGUUGAGGCAGGCGGAAUUCGUGGUGUAGCGGUGAAAUGCUUAGAUAUCACGAAGAACUCCGAUUGCGAAGGCAGCCUGCUAAGCUGCAACUGACAUUGAGGCUCGAAAGUGUGGGUAUCAAACAGGAUUAGAUACCCUGGUAGUCCACACGGUAAACGAUGAAUACUCGCUGUUUGCGAUAUACUGCAAGCGGCCAAGCGAAAGCGUUAAGUAUUCCACCUGGGGAGUACGCCGGCAACGGUGAAACUCAAAGGAAUUGACGGGGGCCCGCACAAGCGGAGGAACAUGUGGUUUAAUUCGAUGAUACGCGAGGAACCUUACCCGGGCUUAAAUUGCAGAUGAAUUACGGUGAAAGCCGUAAGCCGCAAGGCAUCUGUGAAGGUGCUGCAUGGUUGUCGUCAGCUCGUGCCGUGAGGUGUCGGCUUAAGUGCCAUAACGAGCGCAACCCUUGUUGUCAGUUACUAACAGGUUCCGCUGAGGACUCUGACAAGACUGCCAUCGUAAGAUGUGAGGAAGGUGGGGAUGACGUCAAAUCAGCACGGCCCUUACGUCCGGGGCUACACACGUGUUACAAUGGGGGGUACAGAGGGCCGCUACCACGCGAGUGGAUGCCAAUCCCCAAAACCUCUCUCAGUUCGGACUGGAGUCUGCAACCCGACUCCACGAAGCUGGAUUCGCUAGUAAUCGCGCAUCAGCCACGGCGCGGUGAAUACGUUCCCGGGCCUUGUACACACCGCCCGUCAAGCCAUGGGAGCCGGGGGUACCUGAAGUGCGUAACCGCGAGGAGCGCCCUAGGGUAAAACUGGUGACUGGGACUAAGUCAUA
rnacentral:rRNA from 1 species